rfam:Schistosoma haematobium scaffold1533_17, whole genome shotgun sequence.
AGCCCUCUGAAUCCGUGAUGAGAUUUCGUCAGACAUCAGACCAUCAGUACUGAUGGGACUUCCAAGACAAGUGAGGCA